GAUGAACGCUGGCGGCGUGCCUAAUACAUGCAAGUCGAACGAAACUUCUUUAUCACCGAGUGCUUGCACUCACCGAUAAAGAGUUGAGUGGCGAACGGGUGAGUAACACGUGGGCAACCUGCCCAAAAGAGGGGGAUAACACUUGGAAACAGGUGCUAAUACCGCAUAACCAUAGUUACCGCAUGGUAACUAUGUAAAAGGUGGCUAUACUACCGCUUUUGGAUGGGCCCGCGGCGCAUUACCUAGUUGGUAGGGUAAAGGCUUACCAAGGCAAUGAUGCGUAGCCGAAUUGAGAGGUUGAUCGGCCACAUUGGGGCUGAGACACGGCCCAAACUCCUACGGGAGGCAGCAGUAGGGAAUCUUCCACAAUGGGCGAAAGCCUGAUGGAGCAACGCCGCGUGGGUGAAGAAGGUCUUCGGAUCGUAAAACCCUGUUGUUAGAGAAGAAAGUGCGUGAGAGUAACUGUUCACGUUUCGACGGUAUCUAACCAGAAAGCCACGGCUAACUACGUG
rnacentral:rRNA from 1 species